rnacentral:rRNA from 1 species
GACGUAGGGCGCGAGCGUUGUCCGGAUUUAUUGGGCGUAAAGAGCUCGUAGGCGGCGCCGCAAGUCGACUGUGAAAUCUCCGGGCUUAACCCGGAAAGGUCAGCCGAUACUGCGGGGCUAGAGUGCAGAAGGGGCAACUGGAAUUCUCGGUGUAGCGGUGAAAUGCGUAGAUAUCGAGAGGAACACCUGCGGCGAAGGCGGGUUGCUGGGCUGACACUGACGCUGAUGCGCGAAAGCUAGGGGAGCGAACGGG